AUAUUGGUGGUGAAGUGAUGUCACCUACGGCCUUUAUUGUUCCAUUUCUCUUCAAUUGUUGGAGUGAAUUCUGUCCCACGAGAUUGAUGGAUGUAUAAGGAAGCUGUUCUCAUGAGUUCAGAAAUGGCUUAGCAGCACAAGAUUCAGUGGACGUGCCAGGCCCGCAAGGAAGAAAGAAACUCUGUAUAAACUGAAGAAGAGAUUUCUCUUAAGGAAAUU